GCGUAAAGCGUGCGCAGGCGGUUGUGCAAGACCGAUGUGAAAUCCCCGAGCUUAACUUGGGAAUUGCAUUGGUGACUGCACGGCUAGAGUGUGUCAGAGGGGGGUAGAAUUCCACGUGUAGCAGUGAAAUGCGUAGAGAUGUGGAGGAAUACCGAUGGCGAAGGCAGCCCCCUGGGAUAACACUGACGCUCAUGCACGAAAGCGUGGGGAGCAAACAGGAUUAGAUACCCUGGUAGUCCACGCCCUAAACGAUGUCAACUAGUUGUUGGGGAUUCAUUUCCUUAGUAACGUAGCUAACGCGUGAAGUUGACCGCCUGGGGAGUACGGUCGCAAGAUUAAAACUCAAAGGAAUUGACGGGGACCCGCACAAGCGGUGGAUGAUGUGGAUUAAUUCGAUGCAACGCGAAAAACCUUACCUACCCUUGACAUGCCACUAACGAAGCAGAGAUGCAUUAGGUGCUCGAAAGAGAAAGUGGACACAGGUGCUGCGUGGCUGUCGUCAGCUCGUGUCGUGAGAUGUUGGGUUAAGUCCCGCAACGAGCGCAACCCUUGUCUCUAGUUGCUACGAAAGGGCACUCUAGAGAGACUGCCGGUGACAAACCGGAGGAAGGUGGGGAUGACGUCAAGUCCUCAUGGCCCUUAUGGGUAGGGCUUCACACGUCAUACAAUGGUGCAUACAGAGGGUUGCCAAGCCGCGAGGUGGAGCUAAUCCCAGAAAAUGCAUCGUAGUCCGGAUCGUAGUCUGCAACUCGACUACGUGAAGCUGGAAUCGCUAGUAAUCGCGGAUCAGCA
rnacentral:rRNA from 1 species